UAGUAACCAAUAUAUAGGCGG
rnacentral:piRNA from 1 species